ACUGCCUCAGCUAAGCCUCCCUAACUACCAAGAAGUAUUCAAUACAAUACAAUAGUAUUCCAUUUUCCAGGGAACAAAUACAAAAUACCAAAAGAUAGCUGAAAUUCUCAGUUAUUGUGUCUUUCAGAUUAGUUGACAUGAUUAAGGGCUUUAUUUGAGGCUAAUGUGCACUGAAAGUAGAGUUGAGAGCCUGUGUAUUGCCUCUUUUUCUUCUUGAGUUAAGUAACUGAGCUAAGGCCCAACACUUCCACAAGCCAGUGCUUUUCAAACUUUUUACUUUCAGGAGAUUUUCCUCACACCUGUUUGCCUGCAGAAUUUCUGCAUUACUGAAAAGAUUCUGGAUGAGAUGUUCAAGGCCUUUCCCAAUCUGGUACCUUCUAGGUAUUGUUGGACUACAAUGCCCAUCAUCCCUGACCAUUGGCCAUGCUGCCUGGGGCUGAUGAGAGUUGGAGUCCAAUGCAUCUGGAAGGGGGAGGUCAGGUCAGAGAAGAUUGUUCUAGGAAUAUAAAAAUGGUAAUGCUUUUAUUUUUUAAUUUAAUUUUAGUUUCCCAUUGCUCUCAGUGGUAACUGUUUCAACUUUUCUUAAGUUGGUUCUCUAAUGCUUUCUCAUCCUCCAGUGAGGACUGCUAGCUCUUUAGUGACUCCCACUCAGAGAAAUGCCUGGCAGGCAGAAAAGUGAUGCAGAUAACAGUCACCACAAUGUCACAAUGGCCAGUUCCUCUCUUGCAGGCAGGUGACAUCAGCUCAAUAUCACAAUGACCAGUCUCUCUCUCACUGUCUCAAGCAGGCAACAGCAUUUGGGCACCUCUCUCACCAAGGCAAGCAGGAACCCAUGGGCACAGCCUUUAUUUCUCUUCAUUGUGGUGGAUAGCAGCCGUAUGUGGGCACAGUGGCUACCAGGAUCUCUCUUAUUCAAUAAGAGAAGCAGCAGGCAUGGGGAGCUGGCAGCCAGAGCUUGAAGAACUCCAUCUAGACUUUUGAAAAUCUGUUCUUCACCUUCGGAGUCCCCUCCAUCAAAUCUGAGAUGUUCCAGGUGUAGAUUCAGGGACUCUGUUCAGAAGGUAAAAAUAAAUGAUGAUGAUUGUUUGUUUAUGAUGUCA